rnacentral:rRNA from 1 species
AAAAUGACUCUCGGCAACGGAUAUCUCGGCUCUCGCAUCGAUGAAGAACGUAGCGAAAUGCGAUACUUGGUGUGAAUUGCAGAAUCCCGUGAACCAUCAAGUCUUUGAACGCAAGUUGCGCCUGAAGCCAUCAGGCUGAGGGCACGUCUGCCUGGGCGUCAAA